AUAGAGUGUAAAGGCAUAAGGGAGCUUGACUGCGAGACCUACAAGUCGAGCAGGGUCGAAAGACGGACUUAGUGAUCCGGUGGUUCCGCAUGGAAGGGCCAUCGCUCAACGGAUAAAAGCUACCCCGGGGAUAACAGGCUUAUCUCCCCCAAGAGUUCACAUCGACGGGGAGGUUUGGCACCUCGAUGUCGGCUCAUCGCAUCCUGGGGCUGUAGUCGGUCCCAAGGGUUGGGCUGUUCGCCCAUUAAAGCGGUACGCGAGCUGGGUUCAGAACGUCGUGAGACAGUUCGGUCCCUAUCCGUCGUGGGCGUAGGAAAUUUGAGAGGAGCUGUCCUUAGUACGAGAGGACCGGGAUGGACAUACCUCUGGUGUACCAGUUGUCGUGCCAACGGCAUAGCUGGGUAGCUAUGUAUGGACGGGAUAAGUGCUGAAAGCAUCUAAGCAUGAAGCCCCCCUCGAGAUGAGAUUUCCCAACUUCGGUUAUAAGAUCCCUCGAAGAUGACGAGGUAAAUAGGUUCGAGGUGGAAGCGUAGUGAUACGUGGAGCUGACGAAUACUAAUCGAUCGAAGACUUAAUCAAAUU
rnacentral:rRNA from 1 species